rnacentral:rRNA from 1 species
GGCUCAGGACGAACGCUGGCGGCGUGCUUAAACAUGCAAGUCGAGCGGAAAGGCCCUUCGGGGUACUCGAGCGGCGAACGGGUGAGUAACACGUGAGUAACCUGCCCUGGACUUUGGGAUAACCCUCGGAAACGGGGGCUAAUACCGGAUAUUUCACUUGUGCCGGCAUCGGUGUGGGUGGAAAGGGUUUACUGGUCUGGGAUGGGCUCGCGGCCUAUCAGCUUGUUGGUGGGGUGAUGGCCUACCAAGGCGACGACGGGUAGCCGGCCUGAGAGGGCGACCGGCCACACUGGGACUGAGACACGGCCCAGACUCCUACGGGAGGCAGCAGUGGGGAAUAUUGCACAAUGGGCGGAAGCCUGAUGCAGCGACGCCGCGUGAGGGAUGACGGCCUUCGGGUUGUAAACCUCUUUCAGCAGGGACGAAGCGUGAGUGACGGUACCUGCAGAAGAAGCGCCGGCCAACUACGUGCCAGCAGCCGCGGUAAGACGUAGGGCGCGAGCGUUGUCCGGAUUUAUUGGGCGUAAAGAGCUCGUAGGCGGCUUGUUGCGUCGGCUGUGAAAACCCGUGGCUUAACUGCGGGCUUGCAGCUGAUACGGGCGGGCUAGAGUUCGGUAGGGGAGACUGGAAUUCCUGGUGUAGCGGUGAAAUGCGCAGAUAUCAGGAGGAACACCGGUGGCGAAGGCGGGUCUCUGGGCCGAUACUGACGCUGAGGAGCGAAAGCGUGGGGAGCGAACAGGAUUAGAUACCCUGGUAGUCCACGCUGUAAACGUUGGGCGCUAGGUGUGGGGGGCCUCUCCGGUUCCCUGUGCCGCAGCUAACGCAUUAAGCGCCCCGCCUGGGGAGUACGGCCGCAAGGCUAA